UAGGGAAUCUUCCACAAUGGACGAAAGUCUGAUGGAGCAACGCCGCGUGAGUGAAGAAGGGUUUCGGCUCGUAAAACUCUGUUGUUAAAGAAGAACAUAUCUGAGAGUAACUGUUCAGGUAUUGACGGUAUUUAACCAGAAAGCCACGGCUAACUAGGUGCCAG
rnacentral:rRNA from 1 species